UACGUAGGGGGCAAGCGUUAUCCGGAUUUACUGGGUGUAAAGGGAGCGUAGACGGAUGUGCAAGUCUGAAGUGAAAGCCCGGGGCUCAACCCCGGGACUGCUUUGGAAACUGUGUAUCUAGAGUGCCGGAGAGGUAAGCGGAAUUCCUAGUGUAGCGGUGAAAUGCGUAGAUAUUAGGAGGAACACCAGUGGCGAAGGCGGCUUACUGGACGGUAACUGACGUUGAGGCACGAAAGCGUGGGGAUCGAACAGG
rnacentral:rRNA from 1 species